AUGUUCCUUGCAUUGUGGACAAUACCUGUGUCAUUAUUUGAGAAUGAGACACAAAGGUAAGAACAAUCAACCUGUUAAAAGAGGUUAAUAUAAACUCAAAACAUUUCAGGCAUUCUACUAUACCACAUAUCAUCAGGGCCUAAGGGCUCCUCUUUUAGAAAUGCAUCCAGACAUGAAAAUAGGGAGAUAGCCUCUUGCUUAGUCUUCUUUGCAAGAAUUCCAGAUUUGUGAACCUCGGGAAGAUCCUUUAAAUAGCUGGAAUCAUAGAGCUCAUGCUCCUUAUCAGUCCAGUCCAGCAUGACUUUUACCUUACGAGCAGGUCUUACAGAUGAAUCCUUCACUAUUGGCCUGCAGCUAUGACCCUUCUCAUCAGUUAUGCAAAGCUGGAAUGACAACUCCCUGCUGGACAUUCCUUCUAACUCUAUUUCUUCUGUUGACUGGACAGCAGGUCCCAAUGGGAGCCAGAGCUCUUCAUCUCCUCAUCCAAUGCAUUAAAAGCAGAGCCAUUUUCUCCACUACGGUGACCUGGUGUAGAUGUAAGAAAUGCUUUCCUUCUCAAAGGGGAGAGCAUCCUCUUAACAGCAAGAUCUAUACCAGCCCCAGAAAGUGGGUCCUCCAUGAUAGUAACUAAAGGUGUUAGGAAGAGCUUCCUC
rnacentral:lncRNA from 1 species